rnacentral:rRNA from 1 species
UGGGGAAUCUUGUGCAAUGGACGAAAGUCUGACACAGCCACGCCGCGUGCGGGAAGAAGGCCUUCGGGUUGUAAACCGCUUUCAGCAGGAACGAAAAUGACGGUACCUGCAGAAGAAGGAGCGGCCAACUAUGUGCCAGCAGCCGCGGUGAUACAUAGGCUUCAAGCGUUGUCCGGAUUUAUUGGGCGUAAAGAGUUCGUAGGUGGUCGAGUAAGUCGGGUGUGAAAAUUCUGGGCUUAACCCGGAGACGCCACCCGAUACUGCUUAACUUGAGUUCGAUAGGGGAGUGGGGAAUUCCUAGUGUAGCGGUGAAAUGCGCAGAUAUUAGGAGGAACACCGGUGGCGAAGGCGCCACUCUGGAUCGAUACUGACGCUGAGGAACAAAAGCAUGGGUAGCAAACAGGAUUAGAUACCCUGGUAGUCCAUGCCGUAAACGGUGGGCACUAGGUGUGGGAUUCUAUUAACGAAUUCCGCGCCGUCGCUAACGCAUUAAGUGCCCCGCCUGGGGAGUACGGUCGCAAGACUA